rnacentral:lncRNA from 1 species
AAAACCAUCAUUGGGCUUCCUACCUCUUACCUCCAUCCUGACCUAUUCCUUGUAGAGGGAUGAGUGACUCUCUUGCUGUGUUCUAUAUAGGAGUCCUUCCAUCAUGGGCAUCAUGGCUGCCAACAGACUGUUCUUGGGAGAGAUUGGGGCUCUGGAUGGUGGAAUGCUGGUCUAUGGAGGAGAGAACGUGGAACUUAGCCUGAGGGUGUGGCAGUGUGGAGGGAAGAUUGAGAUCUUACCCUGCUCCCGGGUGGCUCAUCUAGAGAGAUACCCCAAGCCCUACGCGUGGGAUCUAAGCAUUUUCUUGAAGCGCAAUGCUCUGUGAGUGGCUGAAAUCUGGAUGGAUGAAUACAAACACAUGGUCUACCUGGCCUGGAACAUACCUCUCCAGGUUUGUCAUGGACUGAACAGCAUCAGGGGGAAAGCUAGCAGCAG